UCAAAGCUCCCCUUAAGAGCCAUGAGUUAUCAUUCCACAGUCUUAGAUUUCUCAAUAUCCACCGAACCAUCUAUUCUCUACUCUAAUCACUUCUCCUUCCAUUGAGAAAUCUCUGAAAUUUGCACCAAAUUGCCCACCAAAAUCAACAUCUCAAAAAAAAAUUUGAGUAACCCCACUCCUUUAAUUUUUAGUUUCAGUCGAGGUUUUACCAAACUCGGACGGUUGAACUCACUGCGUCAUACUCGUUUGAUUGUGUAUUCUUCAGGUCCUACUCAUGUGAAUACUGUUGAAAUUGAACAAAGUGAGGUAGAAGUAGCUGAAGGGUAUACAAUUACUCAAUUCUGUGAUAAGAAUAUUGAUGUUUUCUUCAAAGAGGAACCACAAACUAAAGAUUGGAGGAAGUUCUUUGUUUUUUUUUUGAAGCAUGGAGGAAGUUGUUGUUGUUUAGAGAGGAAUGGAGUCUAUGGAGAAAGUACAGUGAGAAAUUCUACAAGCAAUGUAUGUUUGCAUUGGUUUGUGUGAUUUUGUUUGGUUUCUUGAGGAAUUGAAUGUAUUGUGGUUUCGAAUUGUAGAUUGAUGAUGAGAUAGAAAGACAUAGUAAGCUACUCAAAGAGAUAGAGCAAAGCCCAGCAGAUAUCAAUGCAGUUGUGGCUAAGCGGCGUAAGAGGAGUUUUUCCAUAUCUUACUCUACUGUCGGAGACUUAUGAUAGCUUGGAUGAACGGGAACGGGACGUUAACCAAACAAUUAACAUUGCUCACUUAAAUUUUACUGUUUGAAUGGUUUUAUGGACAUAUACGCAUUCAUACUCUAGUUGAGCUUGUGGAGGUACUUAACAAUCUUGUAAUUGGUACAAAAGUCUUGGAGCAUGUGCACAUGGCACCUUAAGAAACCUAUAUGUUCUCGUUGAUUGUUCUGCUAAACAUUGAUUAAUUGGUUCUUAAUCAGAAAUAAGUGAUAGUAAGAUGAAGUGAGCAAGAGAGAUUGUACCGAAAAGAACUCUUGGUAAGCUGUUUCAGUUGGGAAAUAAUGAACAUGAUGCAUUCAUGCUCUAGUUGAGCUUUUGAAAAUAAUUAACAAGCUUGUACUUGGUACCAACAUGUUAGAGCUUGUAGCAUCAAUAUCUUAUGAAACCCAGUAUGACGUAAUGUUGUUGUGAACUAUUUUAUGUUAAACUUCGGUUAGCACAGCUGCAAGGGGAAUUUGACUAACGUGUUCAGAGGCAAGCAGAACUAGCAAGUCAUGUUUACAGGCUUACUGAACGUUUCAGAAAAUUUAGUAAGCAAGAAGCAAUAUCCAGGCCAGGAGCUAGAUGCCUCUUUGCAAUCUGUGCUGCUUCAAGCUAUAUUUGACGAUAUACUCAAUUCUCCAUCGCUAGAUGCGGCAUGUGAGAAGAUCAAAAGUUUAGGAAAAGAAAAAGAGAGCUUGAUUCCUCAUUGAUCUUGUUGAUAAAUAGUGCUUGGGGAGCAGCAAAAGAAUCACCAACCAUGAAGAAUGAGGGUCAAAGACAUAAUUUAUCACCAACAUAAAGUCACAAAUGCAGCCUGGUUACAUUGAUUAUGAUAAGUUGGAGAAUACGCUACACUUUUCAGGCCAAAUCUGAUAGUUGCUGGUGCAAGUGCUUAUUCACGCUUCUAUGAUUGUGCACGCAUUCACCAGGUCAUGUAUGACUAUGAAGACAAAAUUAAUCGGGCCGUCUUUCCUGGUCUUCAAGGAGGUCCGCAGAAUCACACAAUUACUGGAUUAAUUAGCAGUUGCACUGAAACAGGCAAUUACCCUGGAGUACAAGGCUUAUCAAGAACAUGUUCUCAAAAAUUGCUCACAGUUUGUGGAAACCUUGAACGCAUUGGGAUAUGACCUUGUUUCCGGUGGUACUGAGAACCAUCUACUAGUCUUGGUCAAUCUGAAAAACAAGGUUAGUAGGAAUAACGUUCCACUUUAAUUCCUCGAAAUUCUGAAUGAACAUUGCUGUCUAGUACCCUGUUCCGUGGAAUACAAUAGAAUGAAAGUUUGUACUCUAUGGUUAUGUCUUGUCAAUAUUAUGUAGCAUGUCCAACAGCUUGAUGGAAGUAGAUGCUCAUGAGUUUCUUCUUUAUGUCUUAUAUUCUGCGGGGGUAUUGAUGGCUCAAGAGUUGAGAAAGUAAUGGAUAUUCAGCUGCUAACAAGACCACUGUUCCUGGGGGAUGUGACUACCAUGGUUCCUGGUGGCGUUUGAAUUGGAAACCCUGCUCGGAUUACUGGAUAGUUAGGCACCCUGAUCAUGUGAGGAAAAACAAAAACCAAUUGGUAAGAUUGGUGUUGCCCGGAUUACUGGAUAGUUAGGCACCCUGAGCCAUCUUGAGGUGGCAUUCAAAGUGUGGAGGCCGGUGAGGGUUAGUCCCGUAUAUGAGUGCCCCAGGGACGAGAUGCAUAUUAUCAGAGGAUGGGACGAGAUGCGUAUUAUCAGAAGAUGGCCCAGACUUAGGGUUAAGUGUUUCCAAGAGUAACCAAGCUUUCCAAGCCUUACCAAUUGGCUGAUCUUAUGUCCCAAAUUUUUUUCCUUAUAAACUAUAUUUACAGAGCUGCAAUUACGGAUGUGGGACUAUUAAUUUUGUUAAUUGUGUCUAAAAAAGGAAGUAGGAAUUACCAAUAGGUACUAUUACAGUGGUCUUAGUUAGUGGCAGGUCCACCCACUAAAACCCAGUAAUUGGAGGUCCAUAAUAAAAAGAAAACAACAAAAUUGGACCUAAAACUUUAUCCCCUGGUCAUGUACACGUGUGGAACAUAUGAGGACGUAUUUUUAAAUAUCGAAAACACCCUUAAGUAUAUAAAAGCAGUAACCAAAUCCAUUUUUUCUUCAUUUUCUCGAUCUAUUCUUUUUCUUCUUCAUUUUCUCAUAUGUGCUUUGGUGAAGAGCUCCGGCUAUGAAGAUCUCCUGAGGUAUCUUGUUCAAUAUGUCUACUGUUAAGAAGAGUGUUGGCGCUUUGGGAGGACGCGGUCCAAUGGGAGUGGAACACUAGAGAGAUCCUGUUUUUUGUAGUAUAUGAAUUUUUACAUAUAUGUAGUGAAAAAUUUCAUUUUAACCCGUUUCUUUUAAGUACAUCAUAUAUGUAUUGCUGAAUUAUAUUGUAAAAAACAACUAAAAUAAGUGAU